CCUUUUCAAGUGGUUCAUGGUCUGAAAAACUCAAAGACUUAGUGUUGUCAUCAGCUUCAUCUCUUGUUUUACCCACGAGAUAGGAGUUAAAUAACAGCACUACAUUU